rnacentral:rRNA from 1 species
UACGGGGGGGGCAAGCGUUGUUCGGAAUUACUGGGCGUAAAGGCUCGUAGGCGGCCAACUAAGUCAGACGUGAAAUCCCUCGGCUUAACCGGGGAACUGCGUCUGAUACUGGAUGGCUUGAGAUUGGGAGAGGGAUGCGGAAUUCCAGGUGUAGCGGUGAAAUGCGUAGAUAUCUGGAGGAACACCCGUGGCGAAAGCGGCUCUCUGGGACGGUACUGACGCUGAGACGCGAAAGCGUGGGGAGCAAACAGG